rnacentral:rRNA from 1 species
AUACGGAGGGGGCUAGCGUUGUUCGGAAUUACUGGGCGUAAAGCGCACGUAGGCGGAUUAAAAAGUUAGAGGUGAAAUCCCAGGGCUUAACCCUGGAACUGCCUUUAAAACUAGUAGUCUAGAGUUCGAGAGAGGUGAGUGGAAUUCCAAGUGUAGAGGUGAAAUUCGUAGAUAUUUGGAGGAACACCAGUGGCGAAGGCGGCUCACUGGCUCGAUACUGACGCUGAGGUGCGAAAGCGUGGGGAACAAACAGGAUUAGAAACCCCUGUAGUCC